rnacentral:lncRNA from 1 species
UUCUAGAAUUGUUACACACUCGCUGAUAACUUUUCCAUUAUUUCAUAGAAUGUUCAGAUGAGCACUUUCUGAGAUGAAAAACAAUGUAGAAGAAGAAGACAACUGGACAUUUUUUCAAGGUACAUUUAUUUCAGAACUUUUAAAAUUUACUUACUAAGCUUAAUUUCUCUAACCCACUGGCCAAAUUAGCUGAGCUAGAAAAAUUAAACUUGGAUGUUUUUUUUUUUUUUUUUCAAACAUGUUACCUGUCCUUAUCACAACUUACUAUUCAGUGAAACAUAUUCUUUACUGUUCUGUUUUUGUGUGUAUCAUGCAUUUGUCUGUAUACACGGCCUGUUCCAAUUUGAUUGUAUGGCACUGGCAGUAGUUCCAUGUAUGCACCCCGAACUAACCCUUUGGCAGAGAACUCAGAAUUUGCUUGGCCAAGGUUCACGAAGUCAGUUUAGAACAUUUCUAUUUCAUUUGCAGUCCUUUAAUACAAUGGUCCAUUCCUGGUGUUUUCACCUUCAGUUUAGGUAAUUUUAGACCUUGAAGAAGAAUAUGUGUAAUUAAAUGGCAUAAAACAAGGCUAAACUUUAGCUAAUGUUGGCCAUAGUGGAACAAUUAGCACAGAAAUGAAUGGAAUGUAUCUGCUGAUUGUCAGAACUGUGGCAUUCUUAUAAUACUGCACGAUAAGUUAUAUUUCAGAAAUAUAUUUAAUUCCUUUAGGAAUAGUGUGAAAAAUCCAUAAAUUGUACUAGCAGCUUUAGUAUGUUAUUGUACAUUAAAGCCCUUUACACUCACUAUAAGAAUGUACAAUGCCAGUCUAAAAUGAACUCAAAUAAUAAUACACUCCAGGCUGGAGAUAACACCCCUCCUUUUUUUUUUUUUAUUCUUAAUUUUAUUCAUGCAUAGGUUAUGCAAACAAGAUUGCGCCGUCACAGCAGCUAGUACAUACAUAACAUGAAAUGGGUUAUAACAAUUAUGUGACAUGGGGAACAGUGCACAUUUUAUUUUAAUGAGGAAGAACAAUCGCAUAUCGACCUUUUUUAAUAAAGAAGUGUAGUCCAGGUAAGGUUAGAUUAAGGUGUUGGCUUGGGUUAGGCGGGUGCAUGCGAUAGGUGCCUCAGAGUUACCAUCUGGAGGGAGACGGUGUGGUUAUAUAGCCAGGGCUCAUACCUGUUACCAGUGUAGUUAUGGUGUGUUCUAUGUGAUAUGUGGCUGAGUAGCAAGUAGGGCGAUAAAAUCAGUGUGUGUGGUGCUUGGUAGUGUUUGCCAUGGUAACUUGCACACUUUGUAGGCUGAAACUAAUUAUACCCACCAACAGAAGUAAUUUACGAGACUGGUGUGUGGACUAGGCGAAGUAAAAUAAUAUAACUGAAAUGAUUAACUUAAAUGAAUUAACUAUCAUAAGUAAAGUCUGACCUGCAACACGUUUAUCUAGUUUAGAUCAGGAUUAUCGUGUGCAGGUCGUGAGGGUAAUCACAUUUAGCAGAACUGGGUUGUCAUUUCUAAUGGUAGGACUAAGGCAAUAUACUCUCCUGAUCAAUAAUAUGCUGGGCAUUGGAGUCAGCAAGCUACACAUAUUUUGGCAUUGUACUUUGUGCUAAACUGCAUAAAUGAGAUAGGACACAAGAAAAGAAAAAAAAAAGGAUAUCGAUAAAAGGAAAACAAUGAAAUAUUUGCUCAUCUGCAGGUAAAAGUCCUCAGCAAUCAGGGAUCAGGCAUGACAACCAUGCAGGUAGGAGCAACAGGCAUCCCGGUGAAGUGCAAAGCUGAUGUAGGACAUAUGUAGCCAGGCCCCCCCAGGCGCUCAGCCCACGUCCGGUCUCGAGGUUCGCCGCCUGGCAGUAAGAGUCCUCUCGGCAAUAUGUCGCAACCAACUACUUAGCUAGAUGCUGGAAGUCAUGUCCGAAUAGGAACUUGGGGUCUCUUGAGAGUCAGUCUGUUCUCGGUAGGGAUGACGUGGGGUUCGAAAGAAGAUAAAAAUGAUAAUAAUUCGGAGCGUCCAGGUAAUGUCUAACUAUUCAAGUGGUGAUUGCAGCGUAGGUAUCUAACCGGGUACCUAGUGGUACAAAUGGGGUGAUGUUGGCUGGAUUCCAUCUGCUGGUCAAGGGGGCCCGAUCCCUGUUUUCAGCUUGAUGGAGUGCGUCCUCCGGUAUGCCCAGGGUCUGCAGGAGUGCUGCUGCUUCUGGCAAGUUCUGCACGGUAAAAACUGAGUUCCCUUGUUGUAUUUGUAACGUUCGUGGCGGACGCCACCUGUAACGUAUGCCGUGAUCUCGGAGUAGGGUGAUAAAGGGCCCCAUAGUUCUUCCCCACUGGAGAGUGUCUCCCGUGAGAUACGCAUAAAAGGUGAGGGCCAUAUUUUCAAAAGAGUAUGUGGAUACCCCUUUGAGUGCCGCCAUUACCGCCGUUUUGUCGGCUCCGCUGCAGAAUUUCAAUACUAGGUCUCGGGCUGCUGUAGCUCUUUUCGGGGCUUGGGUAUACGGAAGAUCCCCUCUGGUAUUACGUUUUUGGUCCAUUUGGGUGUUAGUAGGGCCCCCAGCAGCCUUCUCAGCAAGUGUGGCAGUUCCUCGGUCGGCACUUCUUCUGGUACACCCUGUAUCUUGAGAUUGUUGUGCCGUCUCGUGUCUUCCAGUAUUGUGAAGCGCUGUUCUGUUAUGCCUUGUUGUUUUUUCAGUGCGGUCACUUCUUUUUGGAGCUCCGCUAUGGAGUGGGUCGCAGCUUCUGCAGAGGUUUAUACCCUGCUCAGGCGAUUCACCGUGCCCUUUAGAUCUGUGCUAAGAAGUGCUACGUCGGUCUGUAUGGUCUUUUGGAGGUCCCCCAGCAUUGCCUUGAGGGUUGCCUCCGUCACCGGUGCUGAGGUCUGUAGGACCGACCGUGGAUGUAGCGGCCGGGGAGGUCCCAUGCUGCUGUCAUCUAGGAAUGGGUCCUCCGAGGAGUCAGUAAGUUCUCCGAGGUCGGCGGCCAUCUUGGGUCCGCAUGCUCCCUGCGCUUGUCUGAACAUUUCCCCUAUAGUCAUGCCCAACCAGGAUUUGUCUGGUUUUUGUUUCUUUGCCUUUCUGCCCAUGUUCAAUUUAGGGUCUUUUUCAGUGAUUUCCACUAAUUGUGGUGUUCAUUAUGCUGUGUUAGUUCUGUCUCGCUCAGGUUGCAUGCGUCCGUCUUGUUGGCUCCAUCCCCAACACCCCUCCUUUUUAAUUCUAUAGAUAAUCAGUUAAAAAUACAAAACAGAAAUAAAUACAAGACAAUUAAAAUAAAAAACAAUUUUUGUCCCAUAAACACCUUACCCAUAAAAGUUCAACCCCUAGUAUAAUCCUGCCUGCUCUGCAUGGAUGUGCCAUGCACAGAACCUGAACAGAUUUUGGAUGGCAGAGAAAUAACUGAAACACAACACAAUAUUCAGUGAGGCAUCCCACAAUGCAGUAUGUUCAGACACUUGCUAAACAAUAAGCAUCACAGAGACCGUAUUGCAAAUUUAGGUAAGCAUAUGACUUGUCGAUUACAGGACUAAAUUGGUUGGCCUGAGCCAACCAAUCACAGUUUGCUGACUGAGCAUUCACAGUCUGGGUAAGUCUAAAUAAGCAGCAUUCUCAUCUUGAAUGAUCAGUUUUUGCUAAGCAUUAAAUAGGCUUAUAUGGGUUAUUUUUUUACUUUGAAGUUUUUUCAAUUUGGGUCUAUUUUAUUGUUUUUUGGGGGGUAUUUUUAUAUUUUGGGGGCAAUAAAAGAAAAUUGAAUAAGAAGACUGAGGGGGAAUAGGUAGGGACAUAUUUUGGUUGGCAGCUAGGGAGUUGAGAACCGAUAGCCACUUGAGGGGUUGGUCACUGUGUGGGCUCAGGAUACUAGACAUCUCCUGGAUGCUUAUCGGGAAUCAUAUGUGUUUUUUUUUUUUUUGUAAAGCCAGAAAACUAAGCAUCUCCUGGGCCUUUAGAAGAAGCUAUGUAUAUUUUAUUACAGGGUCUAGGGUAAUAAGCAUCUUCUGGACCCUUAUUGGAGGAUCACAUGUAUUUUUAUAACAGGGCCCCACAGACUGGGCAUCGCCUGGACACUAUUCACUCUCCGCACCAUCGCCCAUGGAGUGAAGAAAAGGAAAAAGAUGCUAACAGGGCCUCUUCUGUUUUUGUGGAGUUUGUUAGUCUAAUAAAAAUGGUAAAAAUGGUAAAAACUCCAAUUCUUUAUUCUUUUACAUCUUCCAAGAUGACACAGUCCAACAUUCCUGUACAUAUUCUGUAUUGGUCCAAACAUUUUCUUCCCAUGAACAAAUGAGACAAUUUUCCCACUAAUACGUUAAGUUCCUAAGUGAUAUAUAAGUAGUCUCACUUCAAGCCAACUUCAGAAGAUCUUUUUUCUUUUUUCAAAGGCCUUGUCUACUUGUAAGGCUAGUGUUCCUAGCUGUUGUGGUUAUGGUAUUUAAAGUGUCCCUUUAAUGACAAACUAUCAAAUCUAAUAAGACCAAAUUAUACCAGAUUUAAUGCCAAAUAAGAAUUCUUAAUGAGAGGUAAUGAAACAAAACUUUGCUGAUAAUAAAAUCACAAACUAUGUCAUUUGAUCACACACUCCUUCUGAUUGCAGGGUUACGAUAAAUUGGCAGCAGGCUUCUGUUUAAAGAGACAAAAUAUUUAGCAUAACUGUCUUCGCAGUAAAACAUUUUUUUAACAGUAGCUGAUAAAGCAUCAAUGCUAAUUGUUUUGCAACCUACCCCAUAGCGCAACUUACAGUUUACAAGAGAUUCAAACAUUACAUUAUGUUGAGACACUGGAACAACUCCACACUGACGGCAACCUACGAAUGAAAAAAAACAACAAAAAAACACAUUGUGGAAUGUUUGCUAACAAGUCAUGAAUUUGCUCUAAUUGUUUCCAGAUUUUGGAUUCUGUAGCUUCCUCUGCGAAACUUCUAAUUUCUUCCAUGUAACAGCCUCAUGUCUUGUAAUAAGUCGGUUUUAUGUGUGUGUUCCUGUAAAAUGUGUAUUUUAUGCUCCAUUUCAGUUCCAUACAAAAAAAAAAAUCUUUUGUACUUAUUUAUUUUCUAGCGACAUAUAGAAAGAAUGUCUCACUAUGAAAUGAAGAUUUAAAGCGACAGCAGAUUGUUUAACUACAUAAGGUAAAAUGGCGCAUUCAUUCUUAAUACUUCCAUUGUUGUAAAACAUACUAAGUGUAAUAUGUUUAUUGGUGUUGAAAAUACAUUAGUCUCCUUUGUAGUACUUUGUAGGUACUUUAUUUCUAUCUUUUUAUCUGAAUUCAAUAUGCUUUUUCAACAUCUAAACUGGGUGAAUGUCUCUAAUGAUUUACAGAUGGGCUAUGUAAACCAUAUAGAGCAUUUACGAUUUUUUUUUAAUGGUUUUUAAAUGCUGGUGAUUAGGUUAUUUUGUAAGUCUUGAUAAGAUUAAGUUUAUAGCUUGCCUCAGGAUGAAACUUUGUAAAAACUAUAUCUUAAUAUUAUUAAUUGAGUUUAAAUUUUCCCUCCUGUGUGGAGAGCUACUCAGCAAACCUCAUGGUUGAGCUAACAUUUAAAUCAACAAAAAAAACCCAAAAAAAACCUCCAGCAAUUUCGCCAUAAAUCAGCUUUACUCAAGCAUUGCUGUUGGAAUGUAGUGGAAUCCAAGUCUGCUGAGUUCUCUUGAGCAGCUUGCCUGUUUAUCUCACUGCUUUAAAUGCAGUUAGCAGCAAACUAUUAUGCCGAACAAGCUGUAAAUGUAAAGAAAAAACCUAGAACUCAUAAUAGACGGCAAAUCCUGACAAGGUAAUCUGACAUCUUUCAUCGCAGUUCUAUAAAGUAAAUACAUAGGUUGAAAAUACUUAGGUUGUUUGUAAACUCUGAUGGCUUUGUAAACUGAUGGAUCUGGUGAUUUGUAAUUUUCCUUUCCAUGCAGAGGGGUUUAUUUACUAAACACAAUGUUUUGGCUAUUGUUGCCGGUGGCUAAAACUUGUUUGAUAUUGGGUAGUACUAAGGUGAAUUCCAGAGUUCUCCCACGUUGUCCCUUGCUGAGUCCCUUUUUGUUCAAAGUGACACUAUAGACACCCAGAUCACAUAAGCUUAUUCAAGUGGUCUGGGUGAACUGCCCCUGUCCCCCUUAUUCCUGCAAUGUAAAACAUGGCACAUUUAGAGAAACUGCAAAGUUUACAAUGCAGCACUAAGACAUCCUCCAGUGGCUGUCUACAAGACAGCCACUAGAGGUGCUUCCUAGCGUUUGCUGGACUCUAGGUCUUCUAAAUGAGGCUGGACAUCCUCACGCUCUGCAUGAGGACGUCCAGCAUCAGUCAAAUCCCCAUAGGAAAGCAUUGAUCCAGUGCUUUCCUGUGGGGAGGACCUAAUGUGAUCACGUAUACGCAUUUGCCCCCCCUCCCCACCUCUCCCUCGGAUGAUGUUGGGACAUCGGAGCUGGAAUCAGGUAUGUGAUUAGUGUUUUUUUAACCCUUUACUGAUCACGGGUGAGGGGACGAGACGUGAAGGAAGGGCGGCAGAGGGCUCUAUAGUGUUAGGAAUACAUUCUCUUUAAAUCACCUGAACCUGGGAGAAAAAAUGCCUAAUAAGAAUUCGCCAACAAACAUCCCAUCUCAAUUCUCUAUUGACUGUUAAAUUAUAUUUUUUUUACUUUUAGGGUGACUGCAUCACCUAAAUAUUAAAAAGAGUAUUGUUUCUUUUUUUUUUUUUUUUUAAUAGAAUAUGUAAUUUUCAUUCUUGUCAAUGCCAUAUUGAAGUAUGUAUUUUUCAACAAUGUCAAAACCUUGUCUUUAUUCUUCCAACAGAACUGGACAAAUGACUAUAUACUGGGAGUUUUACAACCUGACAAUUAGUUACAUGUUAACCUUAACCUUAUAAAUUCUGAUAGGUUAUACAGCAAGCUGAUCUGCAGAGAAUCAUAAAUUGCUGAGUAUAAUUACUGUGUAUAAUUAUCUAGAAAAUGUUCAGCAACAGUUUGCUUAAUGCAACUUUGCAGAGUGAAAGCCAUUGCUGGUGCAAAGGGAAUGGGUCUUUAUGGGAUAAAUGUUAUGUAACAUUACUUUGCAAAUAAAAAUAAAAGUUAGUUGAGUAAAUACAGUGUUGCGAGGGAAUGGGUUAAAUUUUAUGAAAUGCAGCCAACUUGUCUUUCUAAGUCAGAUUUUUACUUAAUUAAAUGAUCAUGCCUCAUGCCUCCAUAAAUAUAGCAAAAUUACUGUAUUCAAGCCUGAAGCUGUAGCUCUGCAUGCUGUUUGACUUAGAAAAACAAGCAGUCUGCUGACAUCAUCAGAAGUGGUGGCCUGAUCCAAUCACAAUGCUUCCCCAUAGGAUUGGCUGAGACUGAGAAAGAGGCAGAUCAGGGGCAGAGCCAGCACAAUUCAAACACAGCCCUGGCCAAUCAGCGUCUCCUCAUAGAGAUGAAUUGAAUCAAUGAAUCUCUAUGAGGAAAGUUCAGUGUCUGUAUGCAAACGGAGGAGAUACUGAAUGUUUGUUUGGAU